rnacentral:RNase_P_RNA from 3 species
AUGGCAAGCCGCUCUGUCGCUCUAUCGUUUUUAAACGGUAGGGAGGAAAGUCCGGACAACAAAGAGCAUCCCGCCUUCUGUUAAAGAAGGGUGCAGCAAAAGCAAUGAUGCUGUAACAGAAAGUGCCACAGAGAACAUAAUUCCGGAAGCAACGUGUUGCAUCCGGUAAAGGUGAAAACGUGAGGUAAGAGCUUACGUGGACAGGCAGUAAUGCCCGUGCAAGGUAAACCUCGGGAGUUGAAAGGCAAAAUAAAUCACGAACAUGCAGCUGCUCGUUGCUGCAUGUGCUGAAAAGUACAUCUUCGUGAAGGGUAUGCCGCAACAGACAAAUGGCAGAGAAACAAUGAAGCAAUUCAUUGUUUACAGAAUCCGGCUUACAGGCUUGCUUUUUCU